rnacentral:lncRNA from 1 species
CAAAUCCGAACCCGAUUAUAUUUACAAAAUCAAAACCCGUCCCAAAUCCGUUUAAUAUUUUAUUUUUACUAUCCGAACCCGUCCCGAACCCGUUUAGCAAUACCCGCACAAUACCCGAACCCGAUUUUUUUAAUUCAAUUCGAUGAGAAAAACUGCCAAAUAAACUACACCUAACAGUUGCACAACCCAGCAAACCCAGCAGUGUGUUCAAUAACAAGAACCAGCAACUCAGCAACCCAGCAAAUAAUGAUUUAUAAUCAUAUAAUCAGAUUAAUUCCAUAAAUUCUAAAAAUCAACAGUAUUACAUUAAUCAAAUAGUAAAUAAUUAGAUUUUUUAACAGUAUCCAAAUAAUUAGAUAAAUAGUUCCUAAAUUCUAAAAAUCUUUAAUAGCAACUAAAAAUUUUUCAAGAACAUACACACAAAAGAUCUUGAUUAUCAAAAAAUUUGAUUGUAAACCUGAAGAGAGUUCCAGGAGAUGUCGCCGACACCGAUUGAGGAGGGGAAGGGUUGUCUCUAGCAUCAGUGAAGUGGAGGAGAGAAGCGUCAAUUGAAAAGAGUAGAUGUCACCGACUGGAGAGAGAAGGAGAUAUCGCCGAUGCCGACCGGGGAGAGGGAAGAGUUGUCUCCAACUGGGAAGUCGGAGAUGUCGCCGCUGGAGAGAGAGAAGGAGAUAUCGCUGACUGGGGAGAUCGCUGACUGGGGAGAGAAAGGAGACGUCGCCGGUGCCGACUGGGCUGCCGGCAGUCGUCAGUGAAGUGGGGGAGAGGCGUGACUGAGAACUAUGGGAAGGGAAGCGAGGGAGAGAGGCGCCG